rnacentral:rRNA from 1 species
AUUGAACGCUGGCGGCAUGCUUUACACAUGCAAGUCGAACGGUAACAGGCCGCAAGGUGCUGACGAGUGGCGAACGGGUGAGUAAUGCAUCGGAACGUGCCCAGCCGUGGGGGAUAACUACUCGAAAGAGUAGCUAAUACCGCAUACGAUCUAUGGAUGAAAGCGGGGGACCGUAAGGCCUCGCGCGAUUGGAGCGGCCGAUGUCAGAUUAGGUAGUUGGUGGGGUAAAGGCUCACCAAGCCAACGAUCUGUAGCUGGUCUGAGAGGACAACCAGCCACACUGGGACUGAGACACGGCCCAGACUCCUACGGGAGGCAGCAGUGGGGAAUUUUGGACAAUGGGCGCAAGCCUGAUCCAGCAAUGCCGCGUGCAGGAAGAAGGCCUUCGGGUUGUAAACUGCUUUUGUACGGAACGAAACGGCUCUGGUUAAUACCCGGGGCUAAUGACGGUACCGUAAGAAUAAGCACCGGCUAACUACGUG